UAUAAUGUGUUUUUUAUGAAAUAGUUAACUGGAAAAAAAAUAUAAUCAACAAAUUAAAGAUUUAAGAUUUUAACUAUCUUUCUUAUUCUGUACUGAAGUAUAAUAUAUAUAAGGUACUUAUAUCAUGUCAACAUGGCACUUAUUAUACAUCCAUGCAGUCUGUGCUCUGUUCACGUAGUUUUUAAAAGGGCCGUAGACUCCUACAUCUCCUACAGGUUGCAAAUUGUGGGAGCAAUUGGAGGGAAACUAUAACAUGACAACAUUGUUUUCUUUGGCUUUUUCGACAACUGGAAUAUUCACAUGUGAGCCAUGGUUAUCAAGCAGUAACAGAACUGUCUCUUUCUUGGUAGGUUUCGCGUCUUUGAUAAAAUGAUCUACAAAAAUCAAACAUUCUUUAUCAGUCAUCCACCCUGAAGAAUUACCAGCUCCAAUGCAAUCUUGAGGUCCACCGCGAAUGAACAUUUCUGAGUAUUUAAGCCGGGGAAAAAUGAACAUCGGCUGUCAGUAACUUACAGCAAUCUGGGGGCAAAUUGUAACAUGUUACAACAAACCCCGAGGUUUUGUUACAACUAGCCCCUUGAUAUAGUUCUUAAUAUUUAUCACGAUAACUAUUAAAUCAACUUAGUAAUCUUGAAAACUGUUAUACAACAUCAUAAAUAGUUAUAUUUUAGCAUAAAAUAAAAUACAUAAAACUUCAAAGCUACGAAAAUAGUGAAACUAACCAAAAAUUUACGUUAGUAAAAUUAUAGGUUACCUGUCAACAAUAAAGCAUUUGCACACACCCACUCACUGAGCCGCCUGGCGGGACCCUGGCUGUGGUAAAGUGGCGUGGCACGUUAUAAGUUUAAGAUUAG